rnacentral:rRNA from 1 species
CAGGACGAACGCUGGCGGCGUGCCUAAUACAUGCAAGUCGAACGGCUUUUCUAUGGAAGCUUGCUUCCACUGAGAAGAUAGUGGCGAACGGGUGAGUAACACGUGGGUAACCUGCCCAUAAGAGGGGGGAUAACAUCCGGAAACGGGUGCUAAUACCGCAUAGUUUUCUUGAUCGCAUGAUCGGGAAAGGAAAGACGGCCUUUGUGCUGUCGCUUAUGGAUGGACCCGCGGCGUAUUAGUUAGUUGGUGAGGUAACGGCUCACCAAGACGAUGAUACGUAGCCGACCUGAGAGGGUGAUCGGCCACAUUGGGACUGAGACACGGCCCAAACUCCUACGGGAGGCAGCAGUAGGGAAUCUUCCGCAAUGGACGAAAGUCUGACGGAGCAACGCCGCGUGAGUGAAGAAAAGGUUUUCGGAUCGUAAAACUCUGUUGUCAGAGAAGAACAAGUUGGAGAGUAACUGCUCCAGCCUUGACGGUAUCUGACCAGAAAGCCACGGCUAACUACGUGCCAGCCGCAGC